CUUUGUUUUGUUGUCAGCGGGCUAGCGGCAUGCCAUUCAAAGAAGUGACUUAGUUGUCGUGUGUAGAAAAGUUUAUAGCGAUUUGUAUGCGUUUCAAAGCAGGUGAUUUUUAGCCUCUGUGGGAAAUGCCAUGCUGUCACAGUCAUCUGCUCCUACAACAACAGCUGCUCUGAAUGAAGAACAGUACUCAUCUCUGCAGUAAGUGCUUGUGGAGCUGCUCAGGUACCCACAAGCAGAGGAGAGUGGGAGCAAAUUGCAGAGGAUUUCGAGAAGAAGUGGAACUGUUAUAACACUAUAGGAGCAAUGGACGGAAAGCACAUUCGUAAUAAAUGUCCACAAGCUAGUGGAUCGCACUUUUUCAAUUAUAAAUCCUUCAACAGUAUCAUUUUAUUUGCCAUGGUAGAUGCUUCCUACAAAUUUUUGUAUGUAGAUGUAGGAACUAAUGGGCGUGUUGGUGAUGCUGGAGUGUUUUCAAAAAGCAAACUACGUGAGUGUCUCAUUGACCAAUCUAUGCUCAACAUUCCUGAAGGCAGGAAGCUUGGGAACACAAACAUUACAACUCCAAUGGUAGUACUGGCAGAUGACGCUUUUCCUCUGAGUUAUAACAUUAUGAAGCCAUACCCCUUAAAAGGAAUCACAAAAGAAGAAAAGGUUUUCAAUUACCGACUGUCACGAGGGAGAAGAUUAGUGGAGAGCAGCUUUGGCAUUCUUGCAAGUCGUUUCAGGAUUUUUCUUACUACCAUUAAUCUGCCUCCUGAAAAAGUUACCACAAUAACACUGGCUGCCUGCACAUUGCACAACUUGUUAACUGAGAGAAGAAAACACUUGUACACACGGCAGGAAACUGUGUCUGCCGUAGUAGGAGACUGCACUUAUCUUGAGACACAAACCACUGAGGACCUACAGCAAAUGGAACCAAUAGCUUGCCAAGCUGCUUCUGGACGUACAGUACACGGGAGAGCAGUUAGGAAAUACUUUAAGACAUUUUACAAUGGCGCUGGGAAGGUGCCCUGGCAAGAUAAUCACAUUUAGUAACGUAAAAUGUAAACAAAUGUACAUACCGCUAACAUUUCCUCAAACGUCGGUGUGGCACGUUCACUUCCAGUUUCACUUUCCGUGCUCUCCAAAUUGCACAUACUCUCGUCGGCCUCUGUUGACUGGUCUAGAAAUUUCAGCAUUUGAAACCAGUACACUUGUGGUGUAUACGCCGCCUGCGCACUGGCUCCACUUUUGCUUUUAUUCAUCUGCAAUAUCAAUAAU